GAUGGGAUUAAGGUUGCUGAUCAGCUGGCCCUGAGCUUGGGAGAGGAUCCAGGUGGGCCUGAUGUAAUCAAAGGGCCCCUAGAAGGGAGGGAGAGAUGCAGGAGAGACUGUCCGAGUGGGAAGAAGGGUGCCAGGAGCCAGGAAAUUCAGGUUUGAAGAAAAAAAUGCUCUUCGGUGUAGCUUUGAUCUGAAUUCUACCUUGGAUAAAUGAGGUCAUGUAUUUCUAUGUGCUGUAUCUAAAUUGAAAAAGAAGUAAAACUGUCAUAAGAUAACAUGAUCAUCUAUGUUGAAAAUUCAAUGGAAUCUACAAAAAAUACUGUAAGAACUAACAAGUGUGUUUAGUGAGGCUGCAGGAUAUAAAAUCAACAUACAAAAAUAAAUCAUAUUAAAAUGCAACAGCAACAGACAAUUGGAAAUCAAAAUUAAACAAUCAGCACCGUUUAUGAUAGCCUUAAAGAAUCUCAAAUACUUAGGACUAAAUCUGAUGAAGUAUGUAUAUGACCCGAACACUGAAAACCACAAAACAUUGUUGAAGAAGACCUAAAUAAAGAGAAAGUUAUACUGUCUGCAUUGAUUAGAAACCUGAAUAGGGCAAGCCCCGGUGGCCUAGUGGUUAAGUUCGGCACGCUCCGCUUCUGCAGCCCAGGUCCAGUUCCUGGGUGUGGACCUACACCGCUCAUCUCUUAGUGGUCACGCUGUGGUGGCAGCUCACCUACAAAAAGAGGAAGCCUGGCAGUAGAUGUUAGCUCACUGUGAAUCUUCCUCAACAAAAGAAAAGAAAAAGAAAAAGAAAACCAAAUAGAAGAAAGGUGUUAAUUCUCUCCAGAUUUGGUAUAUAGAUUCAGUGUAAUUCCAACCAAAAUCCCAGGAGGAUUUCUUGUAGAACUUGAAAAGCUAAUUUUAAAAUUCAUAACAAAAUUCAAAGGACCUAGAAUAGCUAAUACAAUUUUUGAAUGUAAGAAUGAUACAAUACUAACGUUAUCAGAUUUCAAUCAGUAUUUCUUUUUUCUAUUCUCCUUUUCUCUCUUCUGUUUUUGUAUAUAUUUUAUACAUCUUGAAGUUGUCCAUCAGCUCAAUAAUCCCCUGAUCAAUUUUUUUUCUUUUUUAUGUAUACGUUUCAUUUUAGAUUAAGUCUACUGUUAUGUCUUCAGCUUUAUUACAUUUUCUUCUGUGAUGUCUAAUCUGCAGAUAAUUCCAUCUGGUGUAUUUUUCAUCUCAGGCAUUGUAGUUUUCAUCUCUAGAAGUUCUAUUUGAGUCUAUUUUCUAACUUCCAUGUCUAUACUUGUUCAAUAUUUCCACUGGUUUUUGAACAUAGGGAAUAUAAUUUAAUAACUGUUUUAAUGUCCUUAAUUGCCAAUUCUAACAGCUGUGUCAGUCCCAGGUUGUUUUGGUUAAUUGACUCUUUCUCCCCAUUGUGAUUCAUAUUUUCCUUCUUCUUUGAUGUCUGGUAAUUUGGCUUCAAUGCCAUAUACUUUGAAUUUUAUCUUUGGGUGGUUGGGUAUUUUUGUAUUACUGUAAAUAUUUUUGAGCUUUGUUCUGAUAUGUAGCUAAGUUACUUGGAAACAGUUUGAUCCUUUCAGUUCUUGAUUUUAAAAUGUCUUAGGACUAGAGCAGCAUUUAGACUACAGCUGAUUUUAUUCCAAAAAU
ensembl:lncRNA